UUGCAGUGAUGAUCAUCUUAGGACACCUUUGAAUAUUAACCAUGAAAAAUAACUAAACUGAGCAAC